UACGUAGGGACCGAGCGUUGUCCGGAUUCAUUGGGCGUAAAGAGCUCGUAGGCGGCUGCUCAAGUCGAAUGUGAAAACUCGAGGCUCAACCUCGAGCCUGCAUUCGAUACUGGGCGGCUAGAGUCUGGUAGGGGGAUCUGGAAUUCCUGGUGUAGCGGUGGAAUGCGCAGAUAUCAGGAGGAACACCGGUGGCGAAGGCGGGAUCCUGGGCCAGUACUGACGCUGAGGAGCGAACGCGUGGGGAGCAAACAGG
rnacentral:rRNA from 1 species